GCUAUAGCUCAGUGAUAGAGCAGCUGCUUUGCAUGUAGAAGGUCCUAGGUUCAAUCCCUAGCACAGGCA
rnacentral:tRNA from 1 species